rnacentral:lncRNA from 1 species
GGCGGAUAUAAAGACAUUUUUACCGGUCUAUGUUGUGUUCCUGAAAAUAUUGCAGGAACGGAUGAUGUAUUUGUGUCAAAUUAUAAUGUUUCAAUAAGCAAUAACGGUGAAAAUUUUGGAAAUGAAGAAGACGUUUACGUAUUUGAUUCAACGUGCCAACAACUGGAAGAUGAUAUGCAGAGUGUUAAACAAUUUACAUUAAAGGAUGGUCAUUGCUUUAUAGAAGGUUAUUGUGUUGCUGAAAAUGAAAUGUCGUUUAAUGGCUGUUUAGCCUGCAAACCGUCUGCAGCUAGGUUUAACUGGACAGAAUACAACCCCUGUCAGAACGGAGGGAACUGU